rnacentral:misc_RNA from 1 species
AAGAGCCCCAAAAAAAAGAAGUGCUUACAAUCAAUACUAAAUCUUCGAGGGUGUUGAGAAAACAACACCUUUGAUACAUCACUAUCAAAAGGUUUUUUUCCCCCUCUUCAUUCAAGCUCAAACUUUUCCCACUUUCACCAGAAUUAACAAUUGUAACCCCCUCUCCUUUCCUUCACCCGAACAGAUCACCAAAUUAUCCCGGUUUCGGGGACAGAAUGAAGCACAAUUAUGACCCAUCUUUCAAUAUUAAGAGAUCAAAAAAAAGGAAAGAAAAAAU